rnacentral:rRNA from 1 species
UAUGUUCAACGGCCGCGGUAUUUUGACCGUGCAAAGGUAGCGCAAUCACUUGUCUUUUAAAUGAGGACCUGUAUGAAUGGCAUAACGAGGGCUUAACUGUCUCCUUUUUCAAGUCAAUGAAAUUGAUCUUUCCGUGCAGAAGCGGGAAUAAAAACAUAAGACGAGAAGACCCUGUGGAGCUUAAGACACUAAAACAGCCCUUGUAAAACCCCCUAAACAAAGGAAAAAACUAAAAGAGCCCUGUCCUAAUGUCUUCGGUUGGGGCGACCGCGGGGAAACAAAAAACCCCCACGUGGAAUGGGAAAUCUUUAUACUUAACUCCUAAAAAUAAGAGCUCCCGCUCUAAAAAACAGAAUAUCUGACCAAAAAUGAUCCGGCAACGCCGAUCAACGGACCAAGUUACCCCAGGGAUAACAGCGCAAUCCCCUUUUAGAGCCCAUAUCGACAAGGGGGUUUACGACCUCGAUGUUGGAUCAGGACAUCCUAAUGGUGCAGCCGCUAUUAAGGGUUCGUUU